AAUGUCUAAAAGUCACUCAAGGCUUGUUCUGUGGCUGAGGUGAAACCAUGGUACCCAUCGUGACCAGGAGUCUUUAAGCUUACUACCCACAGACUGAGUACAGGGGAUAAAACCCAGACCUUGACAAAC